AAGACUGGUGGGUCUCCUUGCUGGUGAAUCCAGUCCUUCAGUAAAUUCCUAAUUCCUCUCUAAAGUGCAAAGGUGUAUUGGCUGACUGAAAAGUGUUAAGUACUGUAAUAAGGGAGUAAACACAAGGAUUUUGAAAUUAAAACUGCUCAAUUUGCUGAUACUAAACAACACUGUUGCCCAGCCUGGAAGAGUAAUGAAGGUUGCUUAAUUAAUACCAGAAGACAGACAGAAAUCUCCAGCUGUGUAACUCAGGGCUGUUUCAAAGCAGAAAAUAACAGGUAUGACUACAACUUGACUGAAUGCUUUGCCUAUAUAGAGACAUGCAGUCACAGAAGAAUUCCCUUUGUCUGACUGUGUCCCUACCACCACCAGGAAUGAAGACAACAGUAUUGAUGUGUCUGAGUGUCCACUCAAAAUAUGCAGGGUGAGGAAAUAAAUUGUAUUUACUGUGAGAGAGGCA
rnacentral:lncRNA from 1 species